CAGCUUAACUGGGGAUUUGGGU
rnacentral:piRNA from 1 species